GUGUCAGUCCCUUUGCAGCCGUUGGCUGGGAGCCUGCAUGUUCCCUGGAAUGAUAUUUGAAACAUGUCACCCUAGCCGUGCCUUCGCUCUGGACUGGGAGGCGAGUCAGUCAGAAUCUGCAUUAUGGAAUGUUUUGGAUGACAAGCUUGUAUUUGCAAAUGUACACACCCUGUGGGAGGUGCUCUGUACAUACGCUGAGAUACUGUACAUAAAAUUGCCUCUGAAUCCCAAUCAUCUGAAAACCGUGUCCUCAGCCUUUGAUACCUUCAGCUGUUUUAUGAAAGUCCUCCAAGUGGAUGAAAGUAUCAACAACCGGAACAAGAGUUUUUCAUUGCCCUAUUUGAGAAGAGCUGCGUGAACGACUUUUAUAUUCAGGAUAGAGAUACAUUCAUCAAUCCAACCACCAGGAGCCGCACUGAAAUUCUACGGAGAGAAGGUCGGAAUCUACUUUGCUUGGGCUGGGCUAUUACAUUCAGAUGCUCCUCCUGGCAGCAGUCGUGGGGGUGACUUGCUUUCUUGUGACCCAGGUGGCUGUCUCCUUGAACUGAUGAUGCAGCUGACAAUAAUCAUGGGAGGACAGUCCAUCUGGAAUAACAUACAAGAGGUGUUACUUCCCUGGGUCAUGAAUCUAAUGAUGCCACAGUUUCGGGAGCAGAACAGACCACCCCACGAUGGGAAUGGGACAACCAUCUGUAUCCCACGGGCAAACUGGGAUUAUUUUAUGAAUACCCUGAAAUGACUCCUUUUGGGCUGUGGACCUACUGCAUCUUUCCAGCACUGUCGGCUUUUCUGCAACACACGCCUGCCUCUCAGGUCAGAAGCAAAUGUCAGCUCCUCCUACCCAUCCACCCCAUUCACGGUCUUGCCGUUCCUG